rnacentral:lncRNA from 1 species
UAUUCCAAUCAAUAGAAAAGGAGGGAAUCCACCCUAACUCAUUUUAUGAGGCCAGCAUCAUUCUGAUACCAAAGCCAGGCAGAGACACAACCAAAAAAGAGAAUUUUAGACCAAUAUCCUUGAUGAAUCCACCAUUAUCAAGUGGGCUUCAUCCCUGGGAUGCAAGGCUGGUUCAAUAUACACAAAUCAAUAAAUGUAAUCCAGCAUAUAAACAGAGCCAAAGACAAAAACCACAUGAUUAUCUCAAUAGAUGCAGAAAAGGCCUUUGACAAAAUUCAACAACCCUUCACGCUAAAAACUCUCAAUAAAUUAGGUAUUGA